rnacentral:tRNA from 1 species
GCGGACGUAGCUCAGUUGGUAGAGCGCCAGCUUCCCAAGCUGGAGGUCGCGGGUUCGAAACCCGUCGUCCGCUC